rnacentral:rRNA from 1 species
UCGACGGUAACGGAAGCAGCUUGCUGCUUCGCUGACGAGUGGCGGACGGGUGAGUAAUGUCUGGGAAACUGCCUGAUGGAGGGGGAUAACUACUGGAAACGGUGGCUAAUACCGCAUAACGUCGCAAGACCAAAGAGGGGGACCUUCGGGCCUCUUGCCAUCAGAUGUGCCCAGAUGGGAUUAGCUUGUUGGUGAGGUAACGGCUCACCAAGGCGACGAUCCCUAGCUGGUCUGAGAGGAUGACCAGCCACACUGGAACUGAGACACGGUCCAGACUCCUACGGGAGGCAGCAGUGGGGAAUAUUGCACAAUGGGCGCAAGCCUGAUGCAGCCAUGCCGCGUGUAUGAAGAAGGCCUUCGGGUUGUAAAGUACUUUCAGCGGGGAGGAAGGUGUUGUGGUUAAUAACCGCAGCAAUUGACGUUACCCGCAGAAGAAGCACCGGCUAACUCCGUGCCAGCAGCCGCGGUAAUACGGAGGGUGCAAGCGUUAAUCGGAAUUACUGGGCGUAAAGCGCACGCAGGCGGUCUGUCAAGUCGGAUGUGAAAUCCCCGGGCUCAACCUGGGAACUGCAUUCGAAACUGGCAGGCUUG